rnacentral:rRNA from 1 species
GCAUAUCAAUAAGCGGAGGAAAAGAAACCAACAGGGAUUGCCUCAGUAACGGCGAGUGAAGCGGCAACAGCUCAAAUUUGAAAUCUGGCUCUCGGGCCCGAGUUGUAAUUUGCAGAGGAUGUUUCUGGCGAGGUGCCUUCCGAGUUCCCUGGAACGGGACGCCAUAGAGGGUGAGAGCCCCGUCCGGUUGGUCGCUAAGCCUCUGUGAAACUCCUUCGACGAGUCGAGUAGUUUGGGAAUGCUGCUCUAAAUGGGAGGUAUACGUCUUCUAAAGCUAAAUACCGGCCAGAGACCGAUAGCGCACAAGUAGAGUGAUCGAAAGAUGAAAAGCACUUUGAAAAGAGGGUUAAAUAGUACGUGAAAUUGUUGAAAGGGAAGCGUUUAUGACCAGACUUGGGCCGGUUGAUCAUCCAUCGUUCUCGGUGGUGCACUCUGCCGGCUCAGGCCAGCAUCAGUUUGGCUUGGGGGAUAAAGGUUUCGGGAAUGUGGCUCCCUCGGGAGUGUUAUAGCCCGUUGCGUAAUACCCUGGGCUAGACUGAGGUUCGCGCUCCGCAAGGAUGCUGGCGUAAUGGUCAUCAGCGACCCGUCUUGAAACACGGACCAAGGAGUCGUCUUCGUAUGCGAGUGUUCGGGUGUCAAACCCCUACGCGUAAUGAAAGUGAACGUAGGAGAGAGCUUCGGCGCAUCUCCGACCGAUCCUGAUGUUCUCGGAUGGAUUUGAGUAAGAGCAUACGGGGCCGGACCCGAAAGAAGGUGAACUAUGCCUGUAUAGGGUGAAGCCAGAGGAAACUCUGGUGGAGGCUCGCAGCGGUUCUGACGUGCAAAUCGAUCGUCAAAUAUGGGCAUGGGGGGCGAAAGACUAAUCGAACCUUCUAGUAGCUGGGUUUCCGCCGAG